GACGAACGCUGGCGGCGUGCUUAACACAUGCAAGUCGAACGGCAAGGCCCUGCUUUUGUGGGGUGCUCGAGUGGCGAACGGGUGAGUAACACGUGAGUAACCUGCCCUUGACUUUGGGAUAACUUCAGGAAACUGGGGCUAAUACCGUAUAGGAGCUCCUGCUGCAUGGUGGGCGUUGGAAAGUUUCGGCGGUUGGGGAUGGACUCGCGGCUUAUCAGCUUGUUGGUGGGGGAGUGGCUUACCAAGGCGUCGACGGGUGGCCGGCCUGAGAGGGUGAACGGCCACACUGGAACGGAGAAAAGGUCAAGACUCAUACGGGAGGCAGAAGUGGGGAAUAUUGGAAAAGGGGCGCAAGGCGGAUCAAGCCAGACCGCGUGGGUGAAGAAGGCCUUCGGGUGGUAAAGCCCUUUGGUUGGGAAAGAAAAGAAGCAGGUGAAUAACCCGAUGUUCUGACGGGACACAAAGAAUAAGCAACGGCUAACUUAGUG
rnacentral:rRNA from 1 species